GCCUGCUGGUGCGUCGGGGAGGAGCCGCCUGUCGGUGCCGACCGCGGGAAAGUCCGGGCCUCCAAGGGCUGGGGAGCAUCCGUGGCGCUGAGAGACCCGGUUUCUGUCAUCUCGGGCUACGGGACUCCCUUGCUCGGCGCCCGCGCUCGUCACCUGGUGCGGACGACGAGAAGGACCGCAGGGGACCCCCACCCAGGGCCAUGGAGCCGCGCGCGCCUGGCGCGGGCGGCCUGAGAAGCGGCGGAGGCUGGGCCCGGCCGGGCGACGGCGGCUUGCGGCCCCGAGACCCCGGAGGAGGAGCAGACCCCCAGCCCCGAGCUGACCCGGCCCCAGCGGGGCUCCCGGCCCGCUUCCCCGCGGCUCGCCUACUUCCUUCGUGAGGUUUUCUCCUGUGCCUUCGGAGGAAGGACUUCCAAGACUCCCUUUCUGGAGGACUCGUUCUGUUUGUUGACCCCUUACAGUCGGACCUGGAUCCAGGGGUCUGAGCUGCCUCUGCGACCUACACCUCAGCUCAAGGCAAGGCAGGAUCCCUGACCCACUGAGGGAGGUCGGGGAUGGAACCCGCAUGCUUAUGGAUACUAGUUGGACUGUUUCCACUGCGCCACAGUAGGAACUCCCUGAAUGGAGUUUUGAGUUGGAUUUUCAGGUUCCUUAUGGAGUAGGGGCCGCAUUCCCCGGAGCAUUGGAGGCGAAGCGAAGCCGUUCCUGUAAAAUGAAAGUUGGAUUAAAAGGAGGACCUCUCACCAAAGACUCCAAUGAGCGGCGCACAGUCUCCUGUCACCCAUAGCCUCCAGACGUGCGGCUUGCCAGGGAGACCUGGCUGAAAUGGAAGGGGCUGCAAGUGUCCAGAGUCCUAGCCACGACGGACAGGCUGUCUGCCACAGGCAAGAUGGAAGAAUCUCCCCCAAGGAAGACCAGCCUCUGAAAGAGAAGGGGGGCGAUCGCCAUUCCUCCGAAAGACACAGAGAAAAAGGAAGCCUGGAGACCCGAGAGGGCUCUCGGAGCAAAGCAGUGCACACCAGGCACAAGCGGAGCAGAAGCCCCACUGGCUGUCCUGACAGGCGGGGCCUCCACAGCAAAGACAAGAAGAGGCAGGGACCACCCUCCCCAGCCCAGGCGAGAGCUAAGGACCGGUUUUUCUCCUCCAGAGCAGGACUUGACCGCAGAGGAGGUAGGUUUCUGGGCAGGCGCUUGGCACAGGUGGGGAUGUGGGUGCAGGGCCUGAGGGUCGCAACAAGCCCCCAGCAGGCAGGUAGGUGGGGAGACACGCUGCCCCUGGUGCGGGGCCCCUGGUGAGGGGCCCCUAAAGCCCUAACAGGCUGGGAGGAAGGCAUCCAGGUGUGGGCCCCGGUUCCCAGCAGAUCCUGGAAGGGGCCCCAGGGUCCGGUGCGGUGGAGAGUGGGUCGUGGGGGAAGGAGGGUUGGGAGUCUCCAUGGGGAAGAGGUUGUUGGUCGACCCUGACAAGGAAUCCCAGGGCGGGCGAGGGUGCAGCGCAUAUCACCUGAACUCCUCCCGCUCUGCCUCCCGCGCAGGUUCUGCCCACACGCCUCGGCGCCCGGCCCGGCCCGCCUCUCCCAAGCCUCGUCGCGGAUCCUCGUGUCCCGAAGCCCGCGUGCCCGCGGCGGCGCUCGCGUCCGAGCUCUGCAACCAGAUGGGCGCCCUGCAGGUGGCCCUGGGCGAGCUGCGGGCCCCGGGGGGCGCCUACCUGCCGGUGCCCUCCCGCUGCACCGAGCC
rnacentral:lncRNA from 9 species